rnacentral:rRNA from 1 species
AUGGCAACAAAAAAACAUCUCUUUCGCUUUGGGUCUUUCACGAUAAAGGACGGGUCGGAGUUUCGUUUUUGGGAAGACAUCUGGCUAGGCAAUGCCAGUCUCCGAGAACAAUAUCCAGCCUUGUACAACAUCACUCGUGAUAAGAAUAAAACUAUUGCGCAGGUGCUCAGUUCAUUCCCGCCCAAUAUUUCGUUUAAGCGGGAUUUGAUUGGCCCCCGUCUUAUGUCAUGGCAUAAUCUUUUAUCCCGUCUGGAUUUGAUCAAUUUGACACAAGGUCGGGAUGUGUUUCGCUGGAACCUUACUGCAUCGGGAUCUUUCACAGUAGACUCUAUGUACCGUGCGCUCACGCAUUCUGAGGUACCAAUGAGUAAUAACAAGAAAAUCUAG